UCGCCACCCCAAGGAAGAACUGGAGGCAGCGAAAGCUGAGCGGCGGCGAUAAGAGCAACGACAGGAGCAGCAGCAUCAUCCCGGAUGUCAACGUCAGUGGUGCAAUAGCCUCCCUUUGUUCCUGUGACCUUUUCACCAGGGACUGUCAAGAGUGCAGUUGGCAGACUUGGGGCCAAACCAAGAGAUGUCCCUGUCACGGCAGCAACAACUAAACACUGACGACAAAAUAAGCAGGCAGAGGAGCAGCAUCCCAGACGUCAACUAAUAUUCAAAGCCAAAUUAGUCUUGUCGCUGCAACUCCUGUACAGACUCAGGAGAGGUGAAGGUCGAGAGCUGUGCAUCCUCCGAAACACAACCCAGCCAAGCCACACUGCUUCAUGACACAAUGCCAGCCACACCAAUGUGUCAGAGGAGACACCAUACACCUGGUGACCGUGUCAGCGUUUAUUGCACCCAGCCCACCGCAGGAGUCGCUAGAGCACAAGAACAUCCAUGCUGGACAAACCCUCCCCUAAACCAGACGUGUGUGUGUGUGUGUGUGUGUGUGUGUGUGUGUGUGUGUGUGUGCGCGCAUGAGUCAAUGCAGUCUGUAUGUGGAAGGUACAAUGGCGGAAAUACUGGCUUGCCUGGAGUCCUUGGUGAUUGUAUGGGCCUUCUGCAGCCACCGCCUGGCCAGAUAGGAUGCUGUCUAUCUACAGUGGUGGAAAGUACUUAAGUACUACUUAAGUCGUUUUUUGGGGUGUCUGUACUUUACUUUAUUUUACUAUUUAUAUUUUUGACAACUUUUUUUUACAUCACUAGAUUCCUUAAGAGAAUAUUGUACUUUUUACUCCAUACAUGUUCUUUGACACCCAAAAGUUCUCAUUACAUUUUGAAUGCUUAGCAGGACAGGAAAAUUGUCCAAAGCACGCACUUAUCAACCGAACAUCCCUGG